ACACUUUGGAAGGAGAAUCCUGCUCUUGGACGUGGUAUUCUUGGUGGGACAGCUACCUAUAAAAUGAAUGAGGUGAGAAAACUGGAGCAAGGGGAUAUUAAAGAUUUGACGAAGGGCAUGUCAUUAUUAAAUGAGAAGCCAAGCUGUAACUCUUGUCAUCCAAGUCUCCUAACACCCAGUUCAGGGGCCUUUACACCAUACCACCAGGCAAUAAAUGCCAUCCCAAAAAAGGAAUAAUAAUGAGAUUGGGUAUGUAAAAUAUCGAUAAGUAGAGGCAUUUGUUAAUGUUAACAAUGAAAUU
rnacentral:lncRNA from 1 species